CCAACCUAACCAACAAAUCUCGAGAGGCAGCCAGCAGACUCCAAACGAUUCCCCACUACUCUCCUCUCCCUGAUCGAUCUUGCCGCCGGCACAGUCCCUCCGCCGCCUGCCCCCUCCCUCCCUCGCCGGACAUCAUCCACCGCUCCUCUAAUUCCUCACCGCAGCUCUAACCCGCCUCCUGGAUGAAUACACAACGGAAGAGGAUCCGCGUGGCUCCUGGUGGUGGCCGCCCGAGCAGCAGCGACAACAAGGGCGGCCAGACCGUGGCUCUCGCCGCCGCGCGCCAGACGCCGGCAGGGGGAUCGAUGGAGGAGGGCCUGGUGGUGGCCUGACCAGGAUGCUGCAGCCGGCGACCACCUCCCCGACCUUCUCCCCACGCGCGCCGGCAACAUCCCUGGACCUGCUGCUCCAGACGCCAUCCACCUCUCCGUCACGCUGCAGCCUCCAGUCCAGGAAUGCUUGGACGGGCCUGACACGGAUAAGAGCAAAGCCGCGGUGAACUAUUUGGUGUUUGACUGAACUUUGCUGAGAGCAGCGCCUACGGCCUCACCAUGCUCGUCCGCCUCCUCGGCCACGUCCUACCUAUCCGCCAUCCAGCUAUACAUAGCAACUAGCCUCACCAUCUGCAGGAGGUGCACGGGGAGCGAAACGGAUUCCUGGAGCAGCGUUGGCAGCGAGAGGUUUGUAGGGCCAGCAUACAAGUGUUGACUUGUCAUCGAAGCCUGAAUUUCCAGUACAUGGAGUGGGACUGACCUUAUGGCACAGUGCCCUGUCUGUCUCAUAAGAUAAUCGUGGCUGCGGUUUAUGGCUCGGCAUCGACAUCGCCGGUGGAUGCACCCCUGGAGCUAGGCUUCCACUUGUCUCUCGCGCCGAAGUAGACUGGUGGUGAUCUCUCUUGGCAGCGGAUGAGGGGCGCUGCUGGUGUGGCCAGAGAGAGCAAUGUCGUCCUCGCGUCCUGCUGCUUGUCAUCAACUAUGGCGAUGAGAGGUUCAACUGUAGAGAAUACCACAUUGUCUUGCGCAAGGAUUUGACAAACAGUGAUGUUGGAAAUAUCGGAAGAAUUCUGCUGCCAAAGAGGGAUGCGGAGGCUAACCUUCCAGCUUUGCUUGAACGGGAUGGCCUGAUACUAAAGAUGGAUGACUUCAAGCUUCCCGCUACAUGGAACUUUAAGUACAGGUUCUGGCCUAACAACAAGAGCAGAAUGUAUAUCAUUGAAAGUACUGGAGAAUUUGUGAAGUCCCAUAGUCUCGAGGCAGGAUACACACUCAUCAUCUACAAAAGCCUGGAGUCCUGAAAAUUUUUGGCAUGUGAUUUUGGGUUACAGAAGAAUUUCAGAAGAAUACUCACCAAGCCUCCCGAUUCGGUCGUCACCGCCUCAGCUAUGUCCCUGCAUGAUUUCCCUCGCCGAUGUGGGGUGUCAGACAUUAGGAUGCGACGCCGGCGACACGAGUCACUUAGGGGAGAACCCAUCAGCAGGCGCAGGCUUCUGGUGUCCGCGUCCUUCACCACCGCCAUGUUCCUCUCGCCGGUGGCCACGAAAUCCAGCGGGGGCGUGGCAGCACUCCGAGCGGUUACAACUACUGCUCUCCGAUGUCGUCCACUCGCAGCAGUCUAUGAACUGUCCACAACUACCUCGUCAGGGACGGCUCCCUCCAUGUCUGCAACACCAUACAGACACGCAGAGGGAUGUAUUGGUUCCUGCUCUUGAUGGCAGUGACCUGAUUGCAAGUUCAAAGACGGGAGCUGGAGAAGGCAGUCUUGGGUGAGGUCAUUUCCCUCGAGAUUUGGUUACAUGUGUACACAAUGGCAGUAGCAUUGGUUACAUUUUAAGUGUUACAAACAAGUAAAAUUUUGUUGGCCUAUCAAUUUGUGGAUAAAGAGGAAUUUCAGAGGUUACAGGAUCUCAAAACAGCUUGGUGAAUGGUCAAAGGCGUGACAACAGUCCAUCAAAAUUUAAUGUGUUUGAAUUUGAGCUCAAACAUUUUUCUUCUGGCUCAGACAAAAUAGCUAGAUCGAAGGUUGUACUUCCAGCCAUCAUCAGCACGAGCCAGCAAGGUAUUUUAUUUGUUAUAGUUUCCACACUGAUUGCUAUAAUAUUUAUUCAAAACUAAGCAGCCCAUGUUAGAAGGACCUAUGACAGAUGCUACUACUAACAAUAAUUUGGUCAGUAUUUUUCCAUCCGUUAUGUCGCCCUUAAAAUUACCAUUGCUACUAUCCUCGCAUGUAUACUUUGAAUUCAGGUUAGAUCUGAAGACGGCGAAAACUCACACUCAAAUGGAACUGGUGAAAUUUCAUUGUACUCCCCGCCUGCCACAACAAAUAUGCCUCCGACACUGAACAUGUCGAGCGUCAGAAUACUUUGAAGAAGUAGAUGGGCCUCAUGGGAGGGGUGGAAGACACACACUGCACCAGUGAUUCAGAGCAUCCGGUGGCAGUACCUUUUGCAGGGAGUACUAGGGCGGGAAAGGUUGCAGCAAUGGCACGCUGAAACGAGAAAGGGGGUUCCAGUGGAGCAAAGGGAAGGAGGAGAAUGGCAUUCAACAGAAAUUGGACUAUUCAUGUUAAGUGAUACUGUGAAGUUGCUAAUUACCUUACAACUUGUCCUUGUUAUGAAUAGAUAAGGUGGUGAAGAUCUGCGGCAUCUUGUGUCCUUUUGGUUGCGAUUUCUUUUAAGCAGAGCAAGAUUUUAUGUUACAGGUUCAAAGCAGCUCUUGCAGCGAAUAUAUGGGCCUUCUUUGCGAGAUUCAGGUCCUAUGCUCCAGACUUCAACAAGCCGGUUCGGUGUAACUGUGUGUGAAAUAUAAAGUCACCAUCAACGGUAAUAUUGAAACUGAAGGCGGGGAGGAGGUGUUGGUAUACAUUAUUUUGUCUUUGAUAAUUAUAUUUUAUGUACCCUAGGCUAGGAUUCAAAUGUAAAUUGAUCUGAGCAAGGGCAUACAGUUUAAAACAAGAUUAAAUUAUACAGUGGAUAUAUAAAAUUUAAACAAAUGUAACGUCAUGCUCUUCUUUCUAGCAAGAGUUUGAACAUCA